rnacentral:rRNA from 1 species
AUUGAACGCUGGCGGCAGGCCUAACACAUGCAAGUCGCACGAGUGGCGGACGGGUGAGUAAUGUCUGGGAAACUGCCUGAUGGAGGGGGAUAACUACUGGAAACGGUAGCUAAUACCGCAUACCAUCGGAUGUGCCCAGAUGGGAUGAGCUAGUAGGUGGGGUAAAGGCUUACCUAGGCGACGAUCCCUAGCUGGUCUGAGAGGAUGACCAGCCACAAUGGAACUGAGACACGGUCCAGACUCCAACGUGAGGCAGCAGUGGGGAAUAGUGCACAAUGGGCGCAAGCCUGAUGCAGACAUGCCGCGUGUAUGAAGAAGGCCUUCGGGUUGUAAAGUACUUUAGCGGGGAGGCGUUACCCGCAGAAGAAGCACCGGCUAACUCCGUGCCAGCAGCCGCGGUAAUAC